rnacentral:rRNA from 1 species
GAUGAACGCUGGCGGCGUGCCUAAUACAUGCAAGUCGAGCGAACGGACGAGAAGCUUGCUUUUCUGAUGUUAGCGGCGGACGGAUGAGUAACACGUGGAUAACCUACCUAUAAGACUGGGAUAACUUCGGGAAACCGGAGCUAAUACCGGAUAAUAUUCUGAACCGCAUGGUUCAAAAGUGAAAGACGGUCUUGCUGUCACUUAUAGAUGGAUCCGCGCUGCAUUAGCUAGUUGGUAAGGUAACGGCUUACCAAGGCAACGAUGCAUAGCUGACCUGAGAGAGUGAUCGGCCACACUGGAACUGAGACACGGUCCAGACUCCUACGGGAGGCAGCAGUAGGGAAUCUGCCGCAAUGGGCGAAAGCCUGACGGAGCAACGCCGCGUGAGUGAUGAAGGUCUUCGGAUCGUAAAACUCUGUUAUUAGGGAAGAACAUAUGUGUAAGUAACUGUGCACAUCUUGACGGUACCUAAUCAGAAAGCCACGGCUAACUACGUG